rnacentral:rRNA from 1 species
GACGAACGCUGGCGGCGUGCUUAACACAUGCAAGUCGAACGGCAAGGCCCUGCUUUUGUGGGGUGCUCGAGUGGCGAACGGGUGAGUAACACGUGAGUAACCUGCCCUUGACUUUGGGAUAACUUCAGGAAACUGGGGCUAAUACCGGAUAGGAGCUCCUGCUGCAUGGUGGGGGUUGGAACGUUUCGGCGGUUGGGGAUGGACUCGCGGCUUAUCAGCUUGUUGGUGGGGUAGUGGCUUACCCAGGCUUUGACGGGUAGCCGGCCUGAGAGGGUGACCGGCCACAUUGGGACUGAGAUACGGCCCAGACUGCUACGGGAGGCAGCAGUGGGGAAUAUUGCACAAUGGGCGGAAGCCUGAUGCAGCAACGCCGCGUGCGGGAUGACGGCCUUCGGGUUGUAAACCGCUUUCGCCUGUGACGAAGCGUGAGUGACGGUAAUGGGUAAAGAAGCACCGGCUAACUACGUG